UGGAGGCGGGGCGCGGGGCCGGGGCCGCCGGGCUGCCUGUGGACCGCGGCUAGGAAGCUCCCACGUACAGGAUCAGAGACUGGAAGGCUGGGGCCGGCGGAGGACCGGGAAGCACGGACACAGGGGCGCCGGCAGGCUCAUUUCUACGGAGGUCAGACCGGCAGUGAGCGCACAAGGGAGCUCAGCGGGAGCCCAGCGCCGAGGGAACCGGGGUCAGAUGACCACAGGGAGGAAGGUGCACAGGCUACUCUCGGCCAGAACGGGUCUCAAGACCUGGGCUUGGCUCGUUAUGCCAGGCCCUGCCUCACUGCUCAGCUGCCUGAACCUUUCCUAGCACGAUGGCUGUUCAUCCGCAGACAGGCUCCCCGACCUUCCUCUUCAGGGUUUGGGUCUUGAAGCUGGAAAAGGCCUCCUUGUUUCCAUCCCUGCCUCGUCCCCUGCUAACCCAUUCUCCAUCCGUGGCCAGAGCAGGUGUGUUCACAAAUAUCCAGGCUCGGGAUGCCAGGGUGGCUCAGCAGUUGAGCGUGUCUGCCUUUGGCUCAGGGUGUGACCCCGAGGUCCUGCAGGGAGCCUGCUUCUCCCUCUGCCUGUGUUUCUGCUUCUCUCUAUCAUGAGUAAAUAAAUAAAAGCUUAAAAAAAAAUAUCCCGGUUGAUGUCAUCUCCUAUACACUUUCGCUGCGUCAAUGUCCUGACGCCUCCUAAAGCUUCCCCAUCACCCGUGAAAUCCUAAGUCGUGUCCCUGGCCUACAGCGCGGCGGGUUCCUGCCUCCCUAGAGCCCCCCAAACCUCGUUCCGAGUUGCUCCCCAUCUCCGCCGCUGCGAACGCGCCCCGCUACGUGCCCCAGCCAUCCUCCCCGCUCCGGCGUGGACGCCAGGCAGUAGCAGCAGGUGGGUUUAGCUACAGUCCCUCCGCUCAUGGAGUUGACGCUCCGCUCCCGAGAAGUCGAACGCGGAGCCCACGGGCUUCGGAAAGGCAGGGGAGGGGCUCCCCAGGAGAGGAAGGCGGUCGGGAAGGCGUCCCCGGGAGG